rnacentral:rRNA from 1 species
UACGUAGGGUGCAAGCGUUGUCCGGAAUUAUUGGGCGUAAAGAGCUCGUAGGCGGUUUGUUGCGUCAGCUGUGAAAUCCCGAGGCUCAACCUCGGGUCUGCAGUCGAUACGAGCAAACUAGAGUGUUGCAGGGGAGACUGGAAUUCCUGGUGUAGCGGUGAAAUGCGCAGAUAUCAGGAGGAACACCAAUAGCGAAGGCAGCUCGCUGGGACGGUACUGACGCUGAGGCGCGAAAGCGUGGGGAGCGAACAGG